rnacentral:rRNA from 3 species
GCGACCCCAGGUCAGGCGGGGACACCCGCUGAG